rnacentral:lncRNA from 9 species
CUGGUAACAGCCGCAGCAUUUCCAGGAUUCAUCAUUCAUUGGGCUACUGACCUGUCAAUCACAUCUGCCGAGCCAAUGAGCAGCACCGCCUCACAAGACACGGAGGUUGGAGGGCAGGCCAGGGGUUCCCCGGCUAUUUGUGCCCUGAGGUGGUCUUGCCACCCUCACUUGUUAAUCUCACCGCUGGGGUCUGUGCACCCCAGGCGGGUGGGCGUGGGGCAGAAUGGUGGAGUCUGCAGAGACCCAACCGCAGAUUCGGGCCUUUGGAGGGGGACAGGGGAAAAUGCUGAGAACUAACUAAAUGUCAGGGUUUGGUAAUAGUAUUUGGAAGGCUACAUUGGUUGGAUUCUGCCACAUUCCUGCCAGUUCCCUCACUGUGUGAACCUGAGUUGGUCUCCUGGGCCUCAGUUGCUUUUUCAAAAGGAGGAGGAUUCCUCGAGAUCAUUCAAACUACUUUUUUGAAAUUUUGGAGGACAAGAAGGGCAGAACCCAGCUUAACCACGGGCCAGUAAAUUAUGAACCUGGGGAAGGGAAAGUGGGUGUGAACUGGAAAAGCAGGACCAGGAUCCAGAGCCAAGAGGGUGCUCCAAAGACAUAUAGGAGGGAUGCCCUCCAGCCUGAGGAAGAACUUGAGGAGGUGGGAUAGCUUGCCAGAAGGGCCUCUGAAUGUGGACUCAAAAGACAGAACAAACGUUUUGGUCCAGUGUCCACUCAGGCAGGGUUGGGGGUGAGGGAGGGAGCUCCCCCGAAGAAUCCUUUCCAAUCCCAUUUAUGGGUCAUUGUGGGGGUUUUUCCUGGAGUGUCGCAGAAACGGUCCUUGGAAACAUUCGGUCUCUUCUGGCCAAGUCAAGCAAGGAUUUGUUCCCACAGAUCUGUGAACCCCCUUCAUGCGCAGUCUUCUGUCUUCUCCACCAACACCACCUGCAGAAUCUGACAAUGACCGUUGGGCUUUUCCAUGAGACCACAACACAAUUUCCUGCCACGUGGAAGGGAGACAGAAGAAUUGUUUGGCAGCAAGAGCCAAACUGGAUCCCGAGACUAUGUAGGGAUAUUGAUUGUCCAGAGAAGAGACGUAAUCUGAGCAUCAACCUCAAGAGGCGGACCCACCCUCCCUGGCUUAGCAGCGGCGAAUGCAGCCCCCCACCCGGGUCCUCAAAUGCUCUCUCAGAUACCCCCUUGGUAUCUGGUUUAAUCUCCAAGCUGACUACAAAGGGGUACCCCCCCAUUCUAACCCAGCAUCCCCAGUGA